GAUGAACGCUGGCGGCGUGCCUAAUACAUGCAAGUCGAGCGAACGGACGAGAAGCUUGCUUCUCUGAUGUUAGCGGCGGACGGGUGAGUAACACGUGGAUAACCUACCUAUAAGACUGGGAUAACUUCGGGAAACCGGAGCUAAUACCGGAUAAUAUUUUGAACCGCAUGGUUCAAAAGUGAAAGACGGUCUUGCUGUCACUUAUAGAUGGAUCCGCGCUGCAUUAGCUAGUUGGUAAGGUAACGGCUUACCAAGGCAACGAUGCAUAGCCGACCUGAGAGGGUGAUCGGCCACACUGGAACUGAGACACGGUCCAGACUCCUACGGGAGGCAGCAGUAGGGAAUCUUCCGCAAAGGGCGAAAGCCUGACGGAGCAACGCCGCGUGAGUGAUGAAGGUCUUCGGAUCGUAAAACUCUGUUAUUAGGGAAGAACAUAUGUGUAAGCAACUGUGCACAUCUUGACGGUACCUAAUCAGAAAGCCACGGCUAACUACGUG
rnacentral:rRNA from 1 species